GACGAACGCUGGCGGCGUGCUUAACACAUGCAAGUCGAACGGAAAGGCCCUGCGUUUGUGGGUUGCUCGAGGGGGGAAGGCGUGAGUAACACGUGAGUAACCUGCCCUUGACUUUGGGAUAUCUUCACGAAACUGCGGCUAUUACCGGAUAGGAGAUCCUGCUGCAUGGUGGGGGUUGGAAAGUUUCGGCGGUUGGGGAUGGACUCGAGGCUUAUCCGCUUGUUUGUGGGGUUGUUGCUUACCAAGGCUUUGACGGGUAGCCGGCCUUGGAGGGUUGCCAGCCACAUUGGGACUGCGAUACGGCCCAGACUCCUACGGGAGGCAGCAGUGGGGAAUAUUGCACAAUGGGCGGAAGCCUGUUGCAGCGACGCCGCGUGCGUAAUGACGGCCUUCGGGUUGUGAACCGCUUUCGCCUGUGACGAAGCGUGAGUGACGGUAAUGGGUAAAGAAGCACCGGCUAACUACGUG
rnacentral:rRNA from 1 species